AGAGUUUGAUCAUGGCUCAGAUUGAACGCUAGCGGGAUGCCUUACACAUGCAAGUCGAACGGCAGCGCGGACUUCGGUCGUGGCGGCGAGUGGACGAACGGGUGAGUAAUGAUCGGAACGUGCCCAGUAGCGGGGGACAACCACUCGAAAGAGUGGCUAAUACCGCAUACGCCCUACGGGGGAAAGGGGGGGAUCGCAAGACCUCUCACUAUUGGGAGCGGCCGAUAUCGGAUUAGCUAGUUGGUGGGGUAAAGGCCUACCAAGGCGACGAUCCGUAGCUGGUUUGAGAGGACGACCAGCCACACUGGGACUGAGACACGGCCCAGACUCCUACGGGAGGCAGCAGUGGGGAAUUUUGGACAAUGGGGGAAACCCUGAUCCAGCCAUUCCGCGUGUGCGAUGAAGGCCUUCGGGUUGUAAAGCACUUUUGGCAGGAAAGAAAUCGUGUGGGUUAAUACCCUGCGCGGAUGACGGUACCUGCAGAAUAAGCACCGGCUAACUACGUG
rnacentral:rRNA from 1 species